AAUUUCACACCUGGAUGUGCUCACUCAACUAAUGCAAAGACAGAGUCUGCCCCAACACUCAGGAAGGUAUUCUGCCCUGUUACUGCCGCAAUCCUCCAGGCUCCACAACUGCCAGCUUACUGGGA
rfam:Xenopus laevis strain J chromosome 6S, whole genome shotgun sequence.